rnacentral:tRNA from 1 species
AAUUUAUAAUAUUUAUAUAACUUUAAUAUCACAAAUUAAUAUUUUUUUUAAACUAUAUAAAU